UUCCAGAGUAUCCUUUUAGAUCAAAUGUUGACCUGUGUUAUCAUUCGCCUUGGUUGGUAACCACCGGCGCCAUAUUGCGUAGCACGCGCUCCAAUAGCCACAGCCGGCAGUCUCUCUGCCACGUCCGAGCGUGUGCAUUUCGACACGUGAUGUAUUUAUUUCAUUAAAUGAUUUAUCAUACAAAAUUCGUUAUAUUGCAUCGUCGUGUUAUAUUGCCUCCUGUCGCCUUUUUUCUCGCCUUUACGUAUCCAACAACUGGCGGUGUCUUCAAGUGAAAAUGUGAUCUCAACUGAGGAUAAUGGACUCGACGAAACAGAUCGAGGUUCUAACGAUCGCCAUUAACAGCCUUCUCCAACUUCAGCUUACUCAACAAUGAAGCGAACAAGAAGUGGCAUCGUCAGAUAACACAUCGUCUCUCUCUUUGAGACCUAUAAUCAUCUAAGUGCUCGUGUAGAAAAAUAUCAUUAUGAUUCUGGUGACGAUGUAAAAUCUUUCACAAAAUGAUUGCUACGUUAUAAAUACAUUAUCGUCAUGGAAGCAGUAUGCCUGCCACCUCAAAUACAAACACGUUUGAUGCUAGACAAACUUGGUCAAACGGAAUUUGACAAGCUAGUAGAUCAUGUCGCGCUUAUAGAUCCAACGCGCAUACCUCAGGACGAACUCAUUAAAACAUUGAAAGAACUUUUCCGAGAUAAAGUUCCCAUUACUCGCCGUCGUAUAGAAAUUUUAAAUUACCGUUACGACAAGCCGAUUCUGAUCACGGACAUUUUGACCGCAUCAAUUGUCAUGUGGAUUUUGAUCGAUCUAAGAUGACGGACGAUAGUCUUUAUAUCCUUCUCUUGUUGCAAUCAUUCUGCUACUCCAAAGAUAACGACGAGUUAAAAAGAGUCGCUCUCCGCGUGAUAGAGAAGAAUCAAGACGCUUCAUUCAAGGACAUCACAGAGCUCGAAGUACACAUGAACGUCCGGCUUAAAAACGCUGGAAAGUUUUCAACAAAACAUCCUCAAUCCUCAGUGCAAAUUUGCGACAAACUAUCUGUGAACACCACGCACAAAAUGUUUGUGCAUCAUUAACAUCUGACAGUGUAUCCGCUACGAAUUUGUCAAGUGAACAAACCGCACACCUCCUAAGUGCGGUCAAUCGCGAAGUUACGCACGACGCGUAUCUCGAAAACAUCCUCCAUCGUUUUCCGAAUCUAUUCGAAGAAUUAGGCCGCAAUUUCAAAGCAAAAUUCGACUUUGCAAGUGACGCUCAUCCUGUGCAAACGCCUUGCCACCAGAUUCUAUUCACCGGAAAGUCUCCUCGACGAGGAACUGUUGCGUCUCGUCUUGAAUGGUAUCAUCGAGCGAGUAGAAAUCUCAAACUAUUCAGCGCCCAUAGUUAUCGCGGAAAAAAAGAACGGCAAACUUCGCCUGUGCGUUGAUUCUUCAACGGGAGUUAAUAACGUGAUUAUGAACAACAAGCACCGCUGUUCUCAGUAGAAAACAUUAUGUCAAAAUUGAAUAGUAGUAGUUGCUUUUUCAGUGUACUGGACCUCAGUGCGCGUUUUUCCAACUGAAGAUUAACGAGGAUCAUCAUGACAUUAUAACAAAAACAAAAGGCUUUUCAGAUUUAAGCGCUUAUCUUUCAAAAAAAAUUAAAACAGCUCCAGCUAUCUUCCAGCAGGCUAUGGAUCUCACACUCCGAUCUCCCUGGAGUAUAUGCAUAUCUGGACGACAUCGUAAUUCUAGGUUCCUCCCAACAAGAACACGAUAUCCGUUUGCACGACACUCUGCAACGCUUGCAAGAUCGAGAUUGGAAACUCAGAGCUGAGAAAUGCCACUUCGCAUUGAAAGCAAUCAAAUAUUUAGGAUGGUUCAUAAAUUCCCAUGGCAUUUCAGUCGAUCCAGAGGCCAUCAGUGCCAUAGUAAACAUGCCGAAACCUACUUCAUUUCAAAAGAGUUUCCUUGAUAUGGUGAAUCAUUAUGGAAAAUUUAUUCCUCACCUACACCAGUUAAAGCAUUCUUUGGAAGAACUUAUUCGUAAAAAUCGCCUUUGAGUUUGGAGCCAACCACAUGACUCAGCAUUGGAACAAAUAAAGAAGGUUAUGCUGAGCCCUCUUCUAAAACAUUACGAUUCAUAAAUUCUAGUGACAGCAGCCGUUUGUGCUACUAGAAUCGGUGCCGUUCUCCUGCAACGUGACUCCAACAAUCACGAACGUGCAGUUUUCCAUAUGGCUCAGAGUCUCACUAGCGCUCAACGCAACUAUUCCUAGUUGAAGAAAGAGGCACUCGCACUCAUCACAGCUGUCGAGCGAUUCCAUAAGUUUGUCUAGGGAAGAAGAUUUGUACUACAAACGGACCACAAAUCUCUCGUGACGCUACUACAAACGACACUAAGGGACUCAAACUAACAACUGCAGCCCGCCUUAAACAGUGCAAUACGAUUACUAGAUUAUGAUUUUAAAAUCGAAUAUAUACGUACUCAGGAUUUUGGCCAAGCAGACGCACUCUCUCGUUUAAUUAAUAAUUUCCAUCGCGAUAAUGCCGAAGAACUUCAAGUAGUUUGCAUCCAUGAUGUCGAAACAGAGCUCCUUCAGAUCAAAAAUUUGUCAAUCGACUUCUUCGGUAAAGAACUUUGAUACAAACUGAAGCUAGCAAUCAAGGAGUCCCCCAUCCCUCAUUCUACGUUCUGUUUUUCAGGCCAUCAAACAAGGCCUAAAUAUUGAAAGACCUAAAUAUCAUCGACGAUAUGCUAUUUCUAGGCGACAGAGUCGUCAUCCCUGACGAACUCAGACCGGCGAUCUUAGCCAUCCUCACAAAGGUCACCCUGGAAUACGUAGAACUAAACAACUCGCUAUGUGUAUUGGCCAAAAAUGACAGAAGACAUCGAACGUCCCAUUUACCCUUGCGCCGUGAAUCAGAAACUUCCAGUAAAGGUGUAUCGCUGAAUCCGUAGCCCACUCCUACACGCCCUAUGGAAUGCGUACACCUAGACUACGCUGGUCCAGUCGACGGCCAAUAUCUGCUUAUUUUCAUGGAUGCAUUUUCCAAAUUCAUUGAUAUCACUAUCAUUGAUACUACUACGUAGGCUGCUGGAAAAGUUUCUGCAAACAAUAUAAAAAAAACAUGUAAAAUUCGGUAAAUGACUUUAUUGUUUUUCGAAAUAUUCGUCUUUAAGAUCGACAUUUUUGCAUACGCUCGAACCAAUUUUCGAAGCAUUUUUUCCACUCUGAGGCUGUAAUCUCAGAAAUCAGUGUACGAAAUAUUUCAACAGCUGCUUCAGGCGACUCAAAUCAUUCACCACGCAUCUUCUUUUUAAUGUUUGAGAACAAAAAGAAGUUAUUAGGUAAUAAAUCAGGUGAAUAGGGACAAUGAAUCAUCAAUUCGACAUUUUUAUUGGAUAAAAAAUCAAUGGUUUGACGUGCUGUGUGACAGCUAGCAUUGUUAUGAUGAAGGAUAAUGCGACGAUUUCGGUUUGUUCUACACAAUUCAUUUAUGAUUUCUCGCAAACAAAUUGUUCUAUAAUCAAUAUUUACAGUCCUUCGAUCCUCUAAAGCCACGGUCACAUGUCCGGUAUAACUGAAGAAACAAGCAAUCAUUUGCUUGACAGCACUGCGUGAACGAACAACUUUUGUUGGUUUCGAUUCAUUUUGAAAUACGCAAACAAUGGAUUGUUGUUUACUUUCGGGCUCAUAGGAAUAGAUCCAUGUUUCGUCCCCAGUAACGAUGUUGUAGACCAAAUUUCACCGACCUCGGUUGAAUUUCUUGAGCAUUUCUUUGCUCCAUUUAACACGAGCCUGUUUUUGAGCUUUGAUCAAAUUGUGUGGGAUCCAACGACUGCAAAGUGAUCAUGCAAAAUCGUAUGUAUUGCUUUCGUGUCAAUACCUAAGGAUGCCUGAAUCUCGCGGUAUGUCAUAUGCCGGUCUCGCUCAAUCAUUUCACGCCCAGCAUCAACAUUAGUGGCAACAACAGAAGUGAAUGGACGAUCUUCAUGGAAUUUGUCACAAAGAAAGGUAUGUCCACGCUGGAAUUGGCAAACCAAUUAUAAACAGUCCUAUUGGAUGGUGCUUCAUCCCCAAAAGCCAAAGUCGAUCGAUGCAUUUCGGAGUUAGAUUACAUUUGUAAUCGUAAAAAAUCAUUACCCGAAAAUUUUCACGUGAAAUUUCCAUUUUCUCACAAAAUAACUUCUUUUAAAAUACUAUGCAAACAAAACUAGUUGGCUCGGGUACUGAAUUACGACUGAAUUAUAGGUUAAAAAUGUCUAAUUUUACGGAUAUGAUAGUAGCAGAACGUUGGCGCCACUAGAAGUAUUAGAUUGCAGAAACUUUUCUAGCAGCCUAUGUAUAUCGGCUAAUCGUACUGUCGAGAAUUCUUUUGCAGGUACGGACCUUCAGACGUGUUUGUCUCAGACCAUAGAACGCAGUUCACCUCAGAAACCUUCGCCACCCUUUGCAGAGAAAUGCAGAUCUCUCACUUACUUUCCCUGGUCAACCAUCCACAAUCUAAUGACCAGGCCGAAAGCUAUCGUUACGCACCUUGCUCAAAUGCCUUCGAGGAUAAAACUCCAGCCGACCUUUUUUUUGGACGCCAUAUGAAUUCUCUGUUUACCAAGUGGCUCCUGAAACAUAACACUCCGAAUCCGACUUCAGCGGAACCCUCAAUUAAACAUGUCGAAGCAAUUUUCGAAGCAUCACGGUGCUUAACCACGCCACUUAAUGGCGGGAGAUAGAGUAA